ACAGCCAGAAUUCUCGUUGGGUCAUGGCCUGCGUUGGACACCAACUAAACUAGAAGAGUCGGUUAAGAUUCCAUUAUUCUAUUUCAAUUUUGUGGUAGUUUGUAGCGUGGCGAAGAUCUUGCCUCUCUCCACGUGAGUGCCGUGUCGUGAAGAUCCAAGCGUCCUUGAGAGGGUUACUACAUUGCAAGACAAAAAUGUGAUACUAGGAAAUCUGAAAUGGAUUCCAUGGUCAGUUUGAUGUUUGAGCUGUUAGUUGUGUUGCUGUUUGGUGUGCGGUGGUUUUGUUGUCAUUAUCCUGUUAAGAGUACUGGGCCAAAUCAUCUGAUGAUGUUGCCUGACGACUUUCCAUUUUGCCGAUGUGUCGUUACUUGCUACCUCUACCGGCUGUACCCUGUACGCCUCAUGCCAUUAGCAAAAGCAUGGUCCAUUGUCAGUUUGAUGUUUGAGCUGCUUAUGGUGUUGAUGUUUGGUGUACAGUGGUUUUGCAGUCCCAUUCCAAUUGAGUUUGUGCAUAAUUGCAGUUCAACAUCACACUUAAAUGUGUCAUUUAUCUAUGUUGGUGUCCGUGCAGUAUAUGCCGUGUUAAAAAGUCGGGCUAUUUAAAAAGUCAAAGUUUCCUGAUCGCUGUCGGUCUUGUUUUAUCGGCUGCAUUUUGUCGAUAUGUCGUCUCUUGUUACCUGUACAGGCGUUGAGUUUAAUCGUUUGCUGCCGUUGCAUAGACUUGAUCCAUUGCUAAAACUGAGGAGAGGUUACUGAAAUUCAAGACUCGUCAAUUAAUUAUGUAGAUGUAGAAAAAUUACAAGUGCAUAUCUGGGCUCCCUUCUUCAGUGGCCCCGUUUCCCUAAAUAACCACUAACCAACGCCCACCGGUGGUCACUCACUCGCUGCGACAACCAGGAGGAAGGGAGAUGUUUGGUCGAACGGGGACUUGCAAGGCGCAUGAUUCGAUGAAAUCUGUUGGAGGGUCAUGAGUCUAAGCCGGAAGCCUACUAUGACACACUGCUCUCAUAAUAACUGCUCCUCAGCUCUCUUCGCUCUUUUUCCGGUUUCUCUUAACCAUGGCCGGGUAAUCUCCCUGGUCGAGUCAGUCGGGCAGUGUCUCCCCCUGCUUGACUGGCAGCAGUUUGACCCGGACGGUCUGUUUAAUAAAUUAAUUUAUAUAAAUGUGU